UGGGUUGUGGCUCAGUGGUAGAGCACAUGCCUUGCAUGUGUGAGGCACUGGGUUCGAUCCUCAGCACCACAU
rnacentral:tRNA from 1 species